AGCGAACGCUGGCGGCAGGCUUAACACAUGCAAGUCGAGCGGGCAUCCUUGUGGUGUCAGCGGCAGACGGGUGAGUAACGCGUGGGAACGUGCCCUUCGGUUCGGAAUAACUCAGGGAAACUUGAGCUAAUACCGGAUACGUGCGAGAGCAGAAAGGUUUAUCUGCCGAAGGAUCGGCCCGCGUCUGAUUAGCUAGUUGGUGAGGUUAUGGCUCACCAAGGCGACGAUCAGUAGCUGGUCUGAGAGGAUGAUCAGCCACACUGGGACUGAGACACGGCCCAGACUCCUACGUGAGGCAGCAGUGGGGAAUAUUGGACAAUGGGGGCAACCCUGAUCCAGCCAUGCCGCGUGAGUGAUGACGGCCUUAGGGUUGUAAAGCUCUUUUCUUCGGGACGAUAAUGACGGUACCGGAGGAAUAAGCCCCGGCUAACUUCGUG
rnacentral:rRNA from 1 species